rnacentral:tRNA from 1 species
GGUAGGAUGGCUGAGUCAGGCGGUGGAUUGUAGCUCCAUAUACAGAGGUUAAAAUCCUCUUCUUAUCA